GAGCUCAGAUUGAACGCUGGCGGUAGGCUUAACACAUGCAAGUCGUGCGAGACAGUAUCUUCGGAUAUGAGUAGAGCGGCGGACGGGUGAGUAACGCGUAGGAAUCUACCUAGUAGAAGGGGAUAGCCCGGGGAAACCCGGAUUAAUACCGUAUACCUCCUUCGGGAGAAAGAAGGCCUCUCUUUGAAGCUUUCGCUAUUAGAUGAGCCUGCGUAAGAUUAGCUUGUUGGUGAGGUAAAGGCUCACCAAGGCUACGAUCUUUAGCUGGUCUGAGAGGACGAUCAGCCACAUUGGGACUGAGACACGGCCCAGACUCCUACGGGAGGCAGCAGUGGGGAAUAUUGGACAAUGGGCGCAAGCCUGAUCCAGCCAUACCGCGUGUGUGAAGAAGGCCUUCGGGUUGUAAAGCACUUUAAGCAGGGAGAAAAAGUUAUAAGUUAAUACCUUAUAACCGUGAUGUUACCUGCAGAAUAAGCACCGGCUAAUUCCGUGCCAGCAGCCGCGGUAAUACGGAAGGUGCAAGCGUUAAUCGGAAUUACUGGGCGUAAAGCGCGCGUAGGUGGUUUGUUAAGUUGGAUGUGAAAGCCCUGGGCUCAACCUAGGAACUGCAUCCAAAACUAACUCACUAGAGUACGAUAGAGGGAGGUAGAAUUCAUAGUGUAGCGGUGGAAUGCGUAGAUAUUAUGAAGAAUACCAGUGGCGAAGGCGGCCUCCUGGAUCUGUACUGACACUGAGGUGCGAAAGCGUGGGUAGCGAACAGGAUUAGAUACCCUGG
rnacentral:rRNA from 1 species